CUCAGGAGCCCAGGCUGGGCUGGGCUGGGCACUGACGAGGCCACAGAAGCUCCGUCCUUU
rnacentral:miRNA from 1 species